AUUUCUUUCUCCAAACACGAAAUCAUCCCAAAUCGGCCAAACUGUCGAGAAAAUGCAGCUCUUUGUCAAAACCCUAACUGGGAAAACCAUCACCGUCGAGGUGGAAUCAAGUGACACUGCCGACGAUGUCAAGGCCAAGAUUCCGAACAUGGAAGGGAUUCCGCCGCACGUGUAAAGGCUGAUCUUUGCCGGAAAACAACUGGAAGAUGACCGUACUCUCGCUGAUUACAAUAUCCAGAAAGGAUGAACGCUUCGUAGUGUCAUUAUUAUCGAACCGUCUUUGAUGGCAUGGGACAGAAAGUGCAACCAGUAUAAAGAUGAUACGCCGGAAAUGGUAUGCUUUUCAACAUUCUCACGCUGUCUUCUGCGGGAAGAAGUAUGGGCAUAGCAAACAGUUGAGGCCAAAGAAGAAGAUCAAGUAGAUGUCAUUUUGAAGUCCCCCUAAAGUAUUGGGAGUAGGUUGAUAGAUACAUCUAAAUGCAGACCCCUGGGGAGUUUGAAUUUGAACUGUUUUGAAAUUUGAUUGCUGCCAUUUCAUAGUUGGGCCGGUCACUGAAACGGUCAUUGGUAUGAUGGUUGAAACAUGAGAGUUCACUUAGUUUGUUAUAGAUGUUAUCAUAUCAUCCAAUUUUACUUUAACCAUAUAUUGAAUUAUAUUUUUCUUU